GGCUGAGGAUGAGCUCGCGUCUGAUAAGCUACCGUUGGAGGGGUAAAGGCCCACCAAGGCGACGAUCAGUAGCUGGUCUGAGAGGAUGAUCAGCCACACUGGGACUGAGACCCAAGCCAGACUCCUACGGGAGGCAGCAGUGGGGAAUGCAAUGGGCGAAAGCCUGACGGAGCAAGACCGCGUGAGGGAAGACGGCCUACUGGUUGUAAACCUCUUUUGAUAGGGAAGAACACAAUGACGGUACCUAUCGAAUCAGCCUCGGCUAACUCCGUGCCAGCAGCCGCGGUAAUACGGAGGAGGCAAGCGUUAUCCGGAAUUAUUGGGCGUAAAGCGUCCGUAGGUGGAUAUUCAAGUCAGUUGUUAAAG
rnacentral:rRNA from 1 species